GACGAACGCUGGCGGCGUGCUUAACACAUGCAAGUCGAACGGAAAGGCCCUGCCUUUGUGGGGUGCUCGAGUGGUGAACGGGUGAGUAACACGUGAGUAACAUGCCCGUGACUUUGGGAUAACUUCAGGAAACUGGGGCUAACACCGGAUAGGAGCUCCUGCUGCAUGGUGGGGGUUGGAUAGUUUCGGCGGUUGGGGAUGGACUCGCGGCUUAUCAGCUUGUUGCGGGGGUAGUGGAAUACCAAGGCUUUGAAGGGUAGCCGGGCUGAGAGGGGGACCGGACAGAUUGGGACUGAGAUGCGGCACGGACCCCACCGGGAGGCAGCGGAGGGGAAUAGUACACAGUAGGAGGAAGCCAGAUGCAACAACGCCGCGUGGGGGAUGACGACCUUCGGGUUGUAAACCGCAUUCGCCUGUGACGAGGCGUGAGUGACGGUAAUGGGUAAAGAAGCACCGGCUAACUACGUG
rnacentral:rRNA from 1 species